ACAUUAAGGGGACCGCUGGCGCUAAGUCAGAGGAAGGAGAGGUCAACGGUAGGUCAGUAUGCCCCGAAUCUCCCGGGCUACACGCGCGCUACAAAGGACAGGACAAUGGGAUGCAAUACCGAGAGGUAACGCCAACCCCGAAACCUGUUCGUAGUUCGGACUGAGGGCUGUAACUCGCCCUCACGAAGCUGGAUUCCGUAGUAAUCGCGGGUCAACAUCCCGCGGUGAAUAUGCCCUGCUCUUU
rnacentral:rRNA from 1 species